AAACCAUGCAUCGAGCAUUUUCUAAUUAACUCCUUGAAUUACUUCCAUGCUUCAUAUAAUGUUUCAUCCUUAGAUUUUCGAAAAGACGUAAUAUUGUUCCUCAGUUU
rnacentral:snoRNA from 1 species